rfam:Gossypium arboreum cultivar AKA8401 contig_3334_1, whole genome shotgun sequence.
AUGUAGUUUAAUUCGAUGCAAAGUAAAGAACCUUACCAGGGCUUGACAAGGCGCGAAUCCUCUUGAAAGGGAGGGGUGCCUUCGGAAACACGGACACAGGUGGUGCAUGGCUAUCGUCAGCUCAUGCCGUAAGGUGUUGGGUUAAGUCUCGCAACGAGCGCAAGCCUCGUGUUUAGUUGCCACCAUUGAGUUUGGAAUUACCCCAUAUUUCAAAAUAUGACAUUGUUGGGAAUGUGAGAUAACCAACUCAAGUUAAUGUUUGAAAUCCAAACAU